rnacentral:rRNA from 1 species
GACGAGGAGCUUGCUUCUCUGACGUUAGCGGCGGACGGGUGAGUAACACGUGGAUAACCUACCUAUAAGACUGGGAUAACUUCGGGAAACCGGAGCUAAUACCGGAUAAUAUAUUGAACCGCAUGGUUCAAUAGUGAAAGACGGUUUUGCUGUCACUUAUAGAUGGAUCCGCGCCGCAUUAGCUAGUUGGUAAGGUAACGGCUUACCGAGGCAACGAUGCGUAGCCGACCUGAGAGGGUGAUCGGCCACACUGGAACUGAGACACGGUCCAGACUCCUACGGGAGGCAGCAGUAGGGAAUCUUCCGCAAUGGGCGAAAGCCUGACGGAGCAACGCCGCGUGAGUGAUGAAGGUCUUCGGAUCGUAAAACUCUGUUAUUAGGGAAGAACAAAUGUGUAAGUAACUAUGCACGUCUUGACGGUACCUAAUCAGAAAGCCACGGCUAACUACGUGCCAGCAGCCGCGGUAAUACGUAGGUGGCAAGCGUUAUCCGGAAUUAUUGGGCGUAAAGCGCGCGUAGGCGGUUUUUUAAGUCUGAUGUGAAAGCCCACGGCUCAACCGUGGAGGGUCAUUGGAAACUGGAAAACUUGAGUGCAGAAGAGGAAAGUGGAAUUCCAUGUGUAGCGGUGAAAUGCGCAGAGAUAUGGAGGAACACCAGUGGCGAAGGCGACUUUCUGGUCUGUAACUGACGCUGAUGUGCGAAAGCGUGGGGAUCAAACAGGAUUAGAUACCCUGGUAGUCCACGCCGUAAACGAUGAGUGCUAAGUGUUAGGGGGUUUCCGCC